UGAAAUUACUAGCGAACAUAAGACAUCAAUAAGCAAUUCCAUCAACUAUACAGCGUCUGCUUAUCUACAAUAGUUUGUCGAGCUGGUCGUAAAAAUUGAUUUUUUUUUGUUAAAUCAAACAGAAUGGAAAGACGAACUGCGCUUCUAUUCAUACUUCUAAUAUCAUCAUUGCUGAUAGCUUCCGCAGACAAAGGUUGUCCGGGCAAUCAAGCCCAAUGUGAAGCAUCGUGCGGCGGUCCCGGACGUGGAAAAUGCGAGAAACGCUGGUACCGUUGGAAAUAUCGAUCCCGUUGCAAAUGUAAUCCUUGCAAAGGAACAUUGGUGCUGGGGGCGUGCAUCGACAAAGUGGAAGUUGGAGUUUCGUGCAAUGGGGAAUCGUGUAAGCCCACAUUUGGAUAAAUUUUAGAGUUUUUGUUAAAUUACAAUUAUGUUUGCUUAUUGAUUAUUGUGUGUAGAGACUAAACAUAGGCAAUCACAGUAUUAAAACAGUAGUGACGUACAAU